CUGUGCGUGGGGGCGUCGGGUCACGUGAUGUAGCGUACAACAUGGCGUCGGUCGCGGACAUGUUCGAUGUGACCUGGGAGGAAAUGCGUGACAAGUUGAGAAAAUGGCGAGAUGAGAACUACCGGAAUAGUGAACAGAUCGCUGAUGUCGGUGAAGAGUUGAUCAAUGAUUAUGCUUCAAAACUUGGAGAUGAUAUUUGGAUCAUUUAUGAACAAGUGAUGAUUGCUGCCCUUGACUGCAGUCGUGACAAUUUGGCAACACAAUGUCUGCAUGAACUCCGCAAACAAUUUCCAGGCAGCCACCGGGUGAAGCGAUUGACUGGCAUGCGAUAUGAAUCACUUGAAAGGUAUGAUGAUGCCAACAAGAUGUAUGAUGGAAUAUUGCAGGAUGAUCCAACAAACACCGCAGCACGGAAGCGUAAGAUUGCCAUUCUCAAAGCCCAAGGGAAAACCACUGAAGCCAUCAGGGAGCUGAAUGAGUAUCUGGAACAGUUUGUUGGAGAUCAAGAGGCAUGGCACGAACUAGCAGAGCUUUAUAUCAAUGAGCACGAUUAUGGGAAAGCUGCAUUUUGCUUAGAAGAACUUAUGAUGACUAACCCUCACAAUCACCUUUAUUGUCAGCAUUACGCGGAGGUGAAAUACACUCAAGGUGGAUUUGAAAACCUGGAAAUCUCUCGCAAAUACUUUUCCCAAGCACUGAAACUAAACAACAGAAACAUGCGGGCCUUAUUUGGGCUGUACAUGUCUGCAAGUCACAUUGCAUCUAAUCCUAAAGCAAAUGCUAAAAUCAAAAAGGACAACUUGAGGUAUGCUGCUUGGGCAGCAAUGCAGAUCAACAAGGCUUACCAGCAUUGAGAAAGAUGGUUUCAAAAGCGACCAUUGCAUAUGUGCUCCACCUGGUCAUUCCAGAAUGCCGCAGCUUGCAGGUCGAGGCAAAAAGGAGAGCAAGAAUUCACUGAAGGUUGUGGAGGACAUGUUGGAGGCUUUACAAAUCACACAGUCGUGAAAUCAUUGCUCUUGGUUGGAUCUUAAUCGAUUUACUUCAGCGUGCUCAGAUUUCAGCACGCUUUGUCUGUUUCCACGCCAACCCACCCACCAACUCCUCUCCUCUCCUCUCCUCUCACCACCACCCCACCUCUCACUUCAGUAACUCAGCCAAAGAACCUGUUCUGUGAAUUUUACUAUAAUUUUGGCUGUCAGUAGAUUAUUACUUCACACCAGUGACCAGUAACAUCCAGGUGUGCAGUUAACUACUGAAAUCUAGCCAUGGCCCGUAAACCUCAAAGAGUUCAAAUAGUUGUUCAAGACUCUGCUGAAAACCACAUUCACAGAAUAAAUAUAGCCUUUCACCAAUUGAAAGUGAACUCCCAGUAGUUCCUUACUGAGAAUCCCUCAUUGCUGUUGCCGUCUCGACAUCUGUGAAUGCAACUAUGAGAACUUUGCAAGCAGUGUGUUCCAUCUAUUGGCCCAGGAUUUACUCAGCCAGACAGCAGCAGCUUCUGCUUAUAAAAACCCCUGUUGCUGCUGAGACACUGGGAUAUCCCUAGGCAAUGUACUCUCUGACCCAACCAUCAUGUGCCAGGGGUGAUAUUCUGUUGAGCUUUCGUGGGUGAAUGAGCAGAGUUCCCAAGCUCACUAGGUCCUGAGAACGUGGAGUAACCGAGGGCACUAUCUAGCCUGAUAGACUCUAGCCUAUUUGUUAUCUAGCCUGAGGAAGAGGGGUGCAUGUUCUACUUCUAGAUCCGACAAGACCAUAAUGCCACAUAGAUCCCAGUUCACAUUCUGCUUAAUCCUCAAAAAUACAAUGCUGUUCCAGCUUCCACACAGACACAAACUGGAAUUUAUUAUACUCUGGCACAGGUACUGGUCAGGUAGCUUGUUCUUUCCUUGAGUUGCUUUGUUUUAUAAUAAGCCUUUUGCUAAUUGCCAUAUUUGCCUUUGUGACUUCAGUGGGGAGUGAACGUAGGUUUGACCAAUGGCAAUAAUAGCUUUGUAAUAGAGUGGACUGCAUACUCGUCAUAUACAAGGUUGUCACUACAUGAUGCAGUUCAUUGGAAUUGUGAUCUCACGACAUGCACUUCAGAAUUUUUGCAUUUUUUUUAGUAUUAGACCUACAGAAGUUCAUCCGGCAGCUGCAAUCCGAAUUGCUUGUGAUUUUUCACAGCCCAUCUAAGUUAUUCAUUCAGCAUUUUGCAUGCUUCCUAAAGCAUUGAAAUAAGUGAAACAACGUGGGAAGAAUUUCUCUGCCUGGUGAGGUUCCAGAGUCUUUUGGCACAGACUUAGUUAUAAUAACAUUAAAUAAAAUAGUUGAAUUACCUGUUUGUACUUAACUUGGUUUCAGUCUGAGUGUGAAGAGCAUUAUCCUGCCAUGCUCUUACAGAGUGUUUAGAGUGUGGAGCAGUACAGUUGCUACACUUUGAGUGCCCCUGCAACUGUGUGACAGCACCAUCUAGUGCCCAAUGAACUGCCUGCCUUUACACUUCUUGUUGAA